rnacentral:rRNA from 1 species
AGCUCCAAUAGCGUAUAUUAAAGUUGCUGCAGUUAAAAAGCUCGUAGUUGGAUUUGUGGCGCGGCCGUCCGGCGGGGGUCCUUCUAUGGUCUCGUUUGUCCUGGUUUUCGGCCGCUCCUUUCUCGGGUAGAGCGUAAUGGCUGGCAUUAGGUUGUCGGCCGCUUCGCGCCCGUCGUUUACUGUGAAAAAAUUAGAGUGUUCAAAGCAGGCUUAGGCCGUUGAAUAUAUUAGCAUGGAAUAAUGAGAUAGGACUUUGUUACUAUUUUGUUGGUUUGCGUAGCAAGGUAAUGAUUAAUAGGGACAGUUGGGGGUAUUCGUAUUCCAUUGUCAGAGGUGAAAUUCUUGGAUUUUUGGAAGACGAACUACUGCGAAAGCAUUUACCAAGGAUGUUUUCAUUAAU